rnacentral:tRNA from 1 species
GUGCCCGUGGUGGUGUUAGUGCCGGUUGCGGUAUUGGUAUUACCGGUGUUGAUGUCGUUUUUAUCAACACUCUUAGGUGCAACAUUCUGAUGAGCAUCC